GAUGAACGCUGGCGGCGUGGAUAAGGCAUGCAAGUCGAGUGGGUUUAGGCCCACGGCAAACGGGUUCGGAAUACAUAGGAAUUUUCCUCAGAGUCGUGAAUAAUUCGGAGAAAUCCGAGCUAAUACACGAUACGCUCUACGGAGUAAAGAUUUAUCGCUUUGAGAUGAGCCUGUGUCCUAUCAGCUUGUUGGUGAGGUAAAAGCCCACCAAGGCUAUGACGGGUAGGGGGUGUGAGAGCAUGACCCCACAUUGGAACUGAGACACUGUCCAAACACCUACGGGUGGCUGCAGUCGAGAAUAUUCCACAAUGGACGAAAGUCUGAUGGAGCGACGCCGCGUGUGGGAUGAAGGCCUUCGGGUUGUAACCAACUUUUUUCUAGGGAGGCAAUUUCGAUGAGAGUACCUGAAGAAUAAGAGGUUACU
rnacentral:rRNA from 1 species